rnacentral:sRNA from 1 species
UCCACGCUCACCGCACCA